UGGGGAAUAUUGGACAAUGGGGGAACCGUGAUCCAGCCAUGCCGCGUGUGUGAAGAAGGCCUUAUGGUUGUAAAGCACUUUAAGCGAGGAGGAGGCUCUCUUGGUUAAUACCCAAGAUGAGUGGACGUUACUCGCAGAAUAAGCACCGGCUAACUCUGUGCCAGCAGCCGCGGUAAUACAGAGGGUGCGAGCGUUAAUCGGAUUUACUGGGCGUAAAGCGUGCGUAGGCGGCUUUUUAAGUCGGAUGUGAAAUCCCCGAGCUUAACUU
rnacentral:rRNA from 1 species